rnacentral:rRNA from 1 species
UACGGGGGAUCCGAGCGUUAUCCGGAUUUAUUGGGUUUAAAGGGUGCGUAGGCGGCCUGUUAAGUCAGGGGUGAAAGACGGUAGCUCAACUAUCGCAGUGCCCUUGAUACUGAUGGGCUUGAAUGGACUAGAGGUAGGCGGAAUGAGACAAGUAGCGGUGAAAUGCAUAGAUAUGUCUCAGAACACCGAUUGCGAAGGCAGCUUACUAUGGUCUUAUUGACGCUGAGGCACGAAAGCGUGGGGAUCAAACAGG